CCAGCUUCACCACCGAGGUCACGAUGGCCAGCUCCGUGUCCGUGAUUUUGUUGUAAACCACCUCGAACUCCUUUACGAUGUCCUUUAUGAGGUCGAUUCGCUUGGCGUCGACGAGGAUGUUGAGGAAAUUGACGGUGUGGGGUUGGAGGGUGGAGGAGUUGGCGAUUUCGUCGAGGACCUUGCGCUUCUUGUCGAGGUCGAUGGUGGGGUUGAUGAAGAAGUCGAAGACCGACGGCUCGCCGAAGAACUUCUCGAUCUUCUCCACGUCGCCCGCCGUGGUUUCGAGGGUGUUGUUGGAUUUGGCCACGUCGGCCAACGCCGUGGCGUAGCUGGCGGCGGCGGAGGAGUUCAUUCUGGCGCCGAGGGCUCCGCCGCCGUUUCGGCGGAGGGUGACGACGGCGGCGGCGGAGGAGGAGAGCUUGAGGGGGAUGGGGGUGAAGGUGGAGGAGAAGGAGAAGGAGAGGGUGGAGGUUCUGGGGGUGAGGGUGGAGGAGAGUUGUGGUGGGGAUGAUGGGUUUUGGGAUUGGAGAGAGAUUGGGGUGUGUUGGAGGGCGGCCAUUGGUCAAUUGGGUGGCUCUCUUUCUCACUCUCACUCUUGGUUUGAUGAUGCGAAGAGAGAGUUUGUGGAACUGAAAGGAAGUGGUAUGUUUGAAGGUUUUGGGGAUUGAUUGAUAUGAAGGAGGAAGGGGUGGACGGUUAGGAUGGUGAGUAGGGAAGGGGGUGGGACGGUGGGGAUUUGAUGGGUUUUUAUCCUUGUUUGAGUGUUAGUAGCCACUGAUAUCUUAAGGAGAUAAUGGAUUUGACGCGUGGAUAGGUUUCAUAGGAUAAGGUAUAUUUUUCAUAUUUUAUAGAAGAAAGUCUUCCUUCACCAUUUGUAAAUUAGUGGCGGUGGUGAUACUUAUUCGAAGCUAUGAAGCUUGUGAAGAAAAGCCUGAAAAAAAUAUUUAUUUCCAGCAGCAAAGUGAUUGGUACAUUGCCAUCUCAAAUGCUCACCAACAGAACUUCCCAACAACAGAAGCAAAAGCACAAACUCAGCCAUUGAAGUUACAUAUAAAGUGUACACUAUACAAAUAACCGAAGACACCAUAUAACACAAGUUCUAUGUUCUACGAUAGUAUAAACAUAUCCACUUUACCAGCAAUGGGAAAAUAAAAUUGAGUAGAGGCGUCAUAGUAUAAAUAUUCCAACUCAGCGUCCAUGCGAAGGAAAAGAGUCAUCUGUAGAAGACUGAGCACCGGAUCCGACAUUUGAGUUUUGUGAUGUAAAUAAGUUUGGGUAUGAGAAGUACGGAUCAUCUUCCAUUGAACUCAAUCUCUGAGGCUGAUGUCGAAGAGGCUCAUGUUCAAAAGCAUGAUCAUUGGGAAGUGAGGAAUCCAAAUCUGCAUUAAGUGGCUCCAUAGUGACAGAAUUAAGAUCUGAUACCUUAGCUCCAUGGCCAUAUUCAUUGACUUGAUGCGGUCCCGGAGAAUGUAUAGCACCAUCGGAAUCACCAUUGCGGAUAGGAUGAUCAAAAUCUGGUUUUUCUCUAGUAUCUGACUCACUAGGAAUGUCUACAUGAAAUGGGUUUUCACAGCUAUUUUCAGGGACUUCUUCAGUGUUUUUCUUGGUAAGCUCGUUAAUUCUAACUUGUGCAAGACUAGCUGCUGAGCGUGCUGCUGCUGCUGCACGUUCUGCAGAGUCUGCAGCAGCCUGAGCAGCAGCUAACACAUCCUGAAAAUCCACAUUGGCGUCACUUCUUGUUCUUGAAAGAGAAGGUGGUGGAUUGCUUCGUCUUGUAGAAAAUGAUGCAGACGAAAGUGAUGGGGGAGAAAUAAAUGGCAAGAACUGUUUAUCUUCCAUACCAUCAACUGAAACAUGAGACUGUUCGUGUUUGUUAGCCACUGAUCUUGCUUGCAUCACUUCUUCAGACUCAAAGGAUGGCUCUUCGGACGAAUUUUCAAUGGCCCCAGAAUCUUUUGACAAUCCAUGAUCAACUUCAGGGUGUGGCGGAGUUGGUAAAGGUGGAGGCAUCGCAGGUGCUGAGGCUGGAUUCGCAAUUGGUCGUAGUGAUACCGUAGGCACUUCAGGAAAGUCUAAUGAUUCCAAACCAUCAUCAGAAUCAGACUGUUCUUUCUGAGAUUGAUCUGGGGCGCAGUACGAUGGUUCGUCAUGUUUUUCUUUGGGGAGGGGCAGUUUAGACCCACUGACAAACUGUGUUGGACCAUUCUGACAAAGAGAGGACAGAUUUAUAGCAGACAGGUGAAAAAGGAAAAAGGAAAAGGGAAAAAGGACAAAAGAAAAUGAGUCCGAGUAUUGUGUUUACCAAUAAAUCUUCAUGUGGUUUGAAAAUUUCAGCUUCAGAUGCAGCAGGAUCCCAAUCCAGCUCAUGCUCUUCGGCAAUUUCUUUCAGUAGCUUCAGUUUUUUCUCAGGCGAAGGAGCACGAACAGAUAGCAGUUCUAUCAACUGCAGUUAAAAUCCAGAGUCACAAACACAAAGUAGGAACCUAAAUAGCUUGAAGAAUAGUGUUACAAUUCUAGUGCACUAAAAGAUGAAUAUCAUGGGGGGAAAAGGUUGCACUACAAAAAGAAAGUUCAUAAAACCUGGCGAUUGACACCACAAUCUGGAAUGAGUUCUGUUGCAGCUGAUACAAAUUCUUUCCCAUAUUUUGAAGCAAAUAGCAUUUGAACUUGUAGCAACUCUGACAGAUCAGCACAUCUUGGCGCAGCAAAACACACACUGGAUAUUGCUUCUUUUAAGUCUAGAGGACAUUCCCUGUAUCAAAAAAUUUAGUUUUUAAGUUUUUAAGGACUGGGUGAAUUUUAACAUAUACGUAACUACAAAAACUUAGCAUACUAACUUUUUGUGUCAAAAUUUCAAGAAACUUAAAUGCCAACUAAGUAAAUCAAAUAGCAGACUUAGAAAUAUGACGACAUUUAAUUCUACAAAAACAAAGGUUGAGUGGAAAGAUGAGAAAAUCAACCACAUGACUAACAAAGAUAAUAAACUAACAAAGAUGAUAAGCUAAGUGAUGCAGGAGGUACAAAGCAUUUCACAAACUACCACAUAAAGUAACUUGGUGGCUUAUGCGGCAGUGCCAUGUGAGUUAAUGAAAUUUCCCCAUGAUACAUGAGGAUAAUGGCAAUACAAAUACGUGGCAUGCCAUCUCCGUUGUCACACCCACAACGGUUUGUAAAAGCAUGAUCCAUCAAGGAUAGAGUAAAGUGAAACCCAUAAAAAAUUCCUCAAACUGAUACUACUGUACUCCCUAUUCCAGAACCGCCUGACUCAACAACUGGGUGGAGAACAGAGACCAUGCUCCCCACUAGCAUUUAAUGGGUUUUGUGACUCAAUUGCAAUUUUCCUAUGACAAGCUCUGCUUAGUUUUAAGUAUCAAUAGAAAGUGGUAUUAGAUUUUUUAAUUGCAAGAAUUUGGAAGCGAAGUACAAACCUAAUACAACUGUCCAACUUAGCUGAAGUGCUAAUGUUCCAGAAGAAGAUACACCAAUCACAAGUUCUCAACCUUUCUUUUUUCCUUUGUUUUCUCUCCCGAAACAUUUCAGUAACCAAAUUAACUAUGUCUGAAACUAGAAAGCAGGAACAUCCUAAAAGAGAGAAAGUGCAGUAGUGAAACUAGAAAGCACGUAUUCUAUUGAAUUGCAAAAGUGGGCCUUUCUCUUUCAUGAAUAUCUAUUUCACAGGGCUCCAAACAAGUCAACUAAAUGAUUGAUUCCUAAAUGUUUCAGUCCCUACUUUAACAGCUGAAGCAUCUCAUAUCUAUUUUAAUAUAAACUGCAGUAGUCUUAUUUCUCCACCAUUGGAAAAAAGAGACUGGUGUACAAGCUUAGCCAAUUACUAAAAUGUUAAGUUUUACACCGGAAAUUUCAAGCUUUGCAGAUCAAGCCACAGAAUGUCUGAUUAAAAAAAGAAUGAAGUCUUGCUUUAACUAAAAUGUUCUGACUUGUAUUCUAAGUCUCACGUCCUUGUAUGUAAGAAUGUAUAUAUGCCAAUCACUUCUUAUAUUUCUAGUCUCUUUUUCUUAUCUGUUAUUUUCUCUUAAUCAUUUUUUCUCUGCAUCCAUGGAUGUCAUUGUCUCAAAACUAUGUGUGUGUUUGUGAAUGUGCACUUUUGUCUUGGUCUAAAGAGGAGUGUCCCGAGAAGAUUGAAGUGUUUCUGGUGUUUCUGUGAAGAAAAACCAGUCACAUCAAUCUAUUGCAAAGUUGCAAACAACAACUAACAGAAGUUUAGUUGGUCAUGGAAAGAAUACUGGUAACCUUUCAUUUUGAUUAAGAGAGAGUUAUUCUUUAUUAUAUAAACAAUGGUCUACUCCUUCCAUUCCACCCUCUCCCCACAAGGAAAAGGAACAAGGAGUACACAUGGACUAAGGAUUAUCAGAAUAAUUAAUAUUUUCAACAGUUCAUAUCAACCUGAGAUAUUUGUUUUCAAUCACAUUUCAGCAAUGCAUUUCAUUUUUUUUCUUUCCUAAAUCAUAAUCUGUUCAUGAUUUCAGAAAUACAUGCAUGCUACUAAAUCCAUGAAAUCCAUCCUAGAACACCCCAGAGUUUUCACCUCACAAGUUUAGAAGAAUUACAACGAAUCAAUUGCUUUUUUAAAAAUAAGAGUCCGCGAAGUAAUGCAUACAUGAAGAAAAAAUAAUAUUCUUUGUUUUAACAAAGAACAAACAGUCGUUCUUUCACCAUACCAGGAUAUGCAUGAAGGUUUACAAAAUUUUCCAUAUGUAGCCAUUAAAAAAGAUAGCAGGAAUUGCUGCAUGCAUUAUAACCCAUGAACCGCAGAUCAUCUUAGUUUUUUUCCGUCUAUGAAAUAUUUAUCAGUACUGAAAACGUUGCAGUUACAGAGAGAAUUUGAGAUAUUACAUCAUUUUAGCUUAGGAUUCUGACAAAUCAAAACUAAAAAUUGCAUGCCAGAUUAUUGGAACAAACAGAAGCAUGGUACAAGAAAAUCACCAGUUUAGAGAUUAACCUUUGUGAUUCAAUAAUUGGAAGGCGGACAGCAAUAAGCUCACAAAAUAGCUCAAGAAUCUCGUGAGCUGCCAUCAUAUUCUCUUCUCUAAUAAUAUGCUCUACCUGAAAUGUAAAUAUCAAUAACACCAUUAUGAAAUGAACAUGAGAAAAAUUCUCAGUAAAAUUUUUCUUAAUACUUUCUAAUUAAAUUAACUAGUUCAUACUUUGUGAUAGAAAAAUUGAAUCGUAAAAACAUAAAUGGAAAAGAGAUGUAUUACCCGAAUCCUAGCAGUAGCCUCUUGGCCAGUCUCAAGAAGCUUGGCAAUGUCACGGCGCAUCUGUUUAAUCUGAAUUUCUCUCCUGUUCCUCAACAACUUUAUCCGCGGAAUAGUCAAUUUCAGCAGGGUUUUGCUGCACAUAAAAAGCACAAACUUACAUGAAAUCACCCGAAACCAAACUAAAAACAAAUUUGCAUUGCACAUCUACAGAACACAAAUAAUUCAAAACCCAUGUCCUCAAAAUAUUCAGCUGGCCCUAAAUUUGUUAUAAUCUGAUUAUUUCAUUUCUUGCAAUGUUAAGAUUAACUCAACUAAGUUAGGUUUCUGCACUUAUUCGCAACAUUUACUACUUCCUCGACAGCCAAACAUCAAUAGAAACUCGAUCAAAGCUUUCGAUCUCAUGAAACUCACAAACCCAGAAAAGACCCAGAAAGUAAAAAAAACAAAAUCGGAAACGGAAACACAACUGAGAGAUCAGAGGAGCAAAUAACAGUUGGGGAGAUCAAUGAUGGUACCAUUUGGCCGCUUUGAAGCCCUUGUUGAAGAACGAAUCGAGCAUCGACAUGCUGACGACGAAAAUCCAAAUCCCUAAUUCCAAACAAAGUCAAAGAUUUGCUUUUUCUUUUUGGUAGCUCUUAUAAGUGUCACAAAGAUUCAAUCUUGGUGAUGUUGCAGAAACAGAGAAGGAGAUGGAUGAUGGCAAGAGAGACUACCUGCUACGUAAAAGAAAGAAACACAGAGUUUUGGCUACGGACAAAACGCGUCGUUUUACAAGUUUGCUUAGUGGACAAGGAGGCUCUGCGUAGCUCUAUGUUUGCGCGGGCGGUCUGUGUGCUUAUAUUUUAUUGCUGUGGGGCCAAACACUGCCUUUUUAGGCUGAGGGGCUCCUUCUCCUUCCUGAUGAUGUUGCCUUCUACCUUCAACGAUUCACAAUAUUUGCUAAAUGUUGUUUUUUUUUAUUUUAAUCAAACUAACAGAUAUUUAAUUUAUAAUUUAUAUCUUUUUUUUUAAUACAAGUAAUAUUAGAGGAGGAAAGUUUUCUUAUGCGCUGUCAAGGUGUCAUAGGGUUCGAAUAUAAAACCAUUGAUCGGUAAGUCAAAGGACAUUUUCCACUGGAGCUAGACUCCAUUAGUUUAUAAUUUAUAUCUUAAGAGCAAGAACAGCAUCCGCCAGCCGAACAAGUAAGGGAUUCCUCGACCGGUGUGCCGGCUUGGCUCCAGCUUUGGCUUCUUGAUUGGCUAUUGCCAGAGAAGACAUAUAUGCUAUACCAUCAGACGGAGCAGACAUGGCAAGAUAGAACAUAUUAAAGAAUGAGCCAAAGCCGAACAAGCAAGGCCAAAGCCAAAUGCCGACCUAAGAAGGGACGCUUGCGGGAGACUUUCGAGUUUCCCGAUAGGUCGAUGUACAACCGAAAGGUGAAUGCUUUACCAAACUCGUGUACAACUUCUUUCCUGUGUAUUGAUUUCCGCUUAUUACAUGCUUGGUUUCCUAAAUUCUUACUCCACAGCACCCCUUGACCAAAGAAACAAAAAACCAAAAAGCCAAGAUCUCUAUAAAGCGAAGGAAAGAAUACAAAUGUACAAUAGAGAAGGAAGAAAGACGAAUUCUAUGAAAGCUUAGACGGAAUAUGUAACAUCCUACAUUGACCAACGGAGAUGGGGUGAUGUGCCUUAUAUGUACAUGCCCACCUUCAUCUAGCACGAGGCCUUUUGGGAGCUCACUGGCUUCAGAGUCAUAGGAACUCCGAAGUUAAGCGAGUUUGGGCUAGAGCAAUCCCAUGAUGGGAGACCCACUGGGAAGUUGCUCGUGAGUUUCUAGAAACAAAACCGUGAAGGCAGGGGGCCCAAAACGGACAAUAUCGUGCUACGGCGGAGCAGAUCAGGGAUGUGACAGAAUGGUAUUAGAGCCACUCUGCCGUGUGGUGCAAAUGUGCUGACGAGGACGUUGGGCCCCUAAAGUGGAUGGAUUGUAACAUCCCACAUUGACCAACAGAGAGGGGGUGAUGUGCCUUAUAUGUACAUACACACCUCUAUCUAGCACGAGGCCUUUUGGGAGCUCACUUGCUUAGGAGUCAUGAAAACUCUGAAGCUAAGCGAGUUUGGGCUAGAGCAAUCUCAGGAUGGGUGACCCACUGGGAAUUUGCUCGUGAGUUCCCAGAAACAAAACCGUGAAGGUAGGGGGCCAAAGCGGACAAUAUCAUGCUAUGGCAGAGCCGAUCUGGGAUGUGACAGAAUAAGGUCUAAAGGAGACCGCCUAUUUAUCACAUGGAAGGAGAAGACUAGUCAAACAUUCUAGCUAUAAACUCACAAUAUAGACUUGAAAAAAGAAGAAGAAAGAUAUUGAGACGGAAUAUGAAUGAAGGAUUGAAGCAUCUGACCGGGCUCCGGAGAUGAAUACCGAAAGAGCUUACCGAAUGCACCAUCCACCUCAGAUAGCUCGACCAGGCAGGAAGGGAGAUUCUCCAGCUCCACUCCUUGUUAUAUAUAUAUUGGAAAACUAUGCUUCAAAAUCAAGCCCAAAAAAUGAUCCUUUUGAAAGGUCGUAUCUUGACCCAUUCAAGCCAUGAAAGUGACCUUUUGGAUUAGAAAACAUGGCCUCUGGACUCUUUCUUGGCUUGAUCGAAGAGCUACUAACAAAAAGGCGAAGUCAGGAUUCAUAAUAAAAUAACCGUGGACGGAUUGAGCUAAUGUUUUCAAAACUUCCAAUACCAUAAGAGGAUUCCACAUCUUUUUUAUAUAUUUUAUUUUAUUAUUUUUAAAUUUUAUAGAUUUUGCACCUUCAAAAGAGAUCUCGAAGGGAAGGUAUAUUGAAUUACAUAAAUCGAUUCACGUGUACUUCUUGUUGCUACAAGGCAAGAAAGAAAGAGGAACUAAUUCAAGAAAGUCAUUUGUGGACGGCAAGAGUACGACAUAUUCCAGGGACCGAUCUAUCUCAUUAAAGGAUUCUGUGGACAGGGCAUGGACUUCAAACCGAUCAAUUAAACCAAUUAUUGUAUAGUUUCCGAAGGAAGUAUUGAAUUAAAGUCAUUCAUGUGUGCCGAUUUCCUUAUGGUUGACUUAACAAUUGGGAUACUAGUUUCACCGUACUUAUAAUCCAUCUUUCAUUAUAUGCUAAUUUCAGUGUAUUAGUUCAUAGCCAAGCUCAACUGGGCUAGAUGGACACAUACACUGUAUGUAGGGCUUAUACACACCAUUAGUAGUUCCCUCCAAAACCCCUGUCUUCUGCCUACGAAUGGGAGAGAGAGCUUGUUGGAUGGAUAGAGUGAAUGCGGGAAUGGCAUAGAGGAAUGGGAUACUACUAAAAAAAAGUAAGAAACACGGGAGCAUGUGGUUGAUAUAAGAAGUACUUACUAUCUUUCCCAAAGUCCAUGUUCUGCCUACCGACCUUAACUUCUCUUUCUAGCCCCUCUACGCUUAUCAAUGCCUGCAUUCCUUUGAUUUCUUGUUGUACUCCUUCUACCAUAUUCCUCUAUCUUUGCAUCUCAGUCCCAGAUCGACUGUAAGUCUUCUUUGCUAUAGCUUGAAUCUGUGAUCGACCUAAAAUAUAUUAUAAAAAGUCUUUUGUUUGCUGGUUUGAGUCCACGUGAUUUAUUUCUCUUAUUAUAAGCGCCAAAUCCCUAACUUUCUUCUUGUUGCUAGCAAAUGGAAAAAUACUACUUCUUGGACUGUGGCCGACACCAGAGAAGACUAAUUAGAUAUUUGCUAAGCGAACGAGCCCUAGCUUGAUCUAAGUCUUAUACCUUAAUUAAGCAGCCUAACUUAUAUGCUCCUCUUACCUUGCUUUAUUACACCGUGCAAAUGAAGCGAAGGACAUCUAUUAUCUAUAACAAAAAUUCCUUAAUCUAACAAGUAAGCAAGUAAACUGCCUUGAGAGAAGACCGAUUUCUACACAAACCCUAGCUACAUUGAGGCUUGAGACAAGCUUCGGAGGACCAUCAAGGGUCAGGCCAAUUUCGAAAAUAGGGACAAUAGAAAAGAGGCGAAACUCAAAGAAGAAGACAAUGGGCAUAUGGGGUCGCGAGACCCAAAUAGGCGCAUGCAUUAGAUCACCAAUGAGGAGAUGGAAAUCAUGGCUCCAGCAGAAAACCCUAAGCAUCAAUCCCUCAAUAAAAAAACUUCUCUUUUUUGGUGCAUAUCUUCUUUAUUCGAGAGCUUGAUGAAGACAUGCCUUGGAUCUAACAGAGUGAUAGAAAGAUCCCCCCUUUUUCGAGCAAAGAGUUGGGUUAGCCGUCCCAUCCCGUUUUUCCUCUCUUGAUCUACAAGCUGCUUUGCGAUAACUCUCUUAUGUUCUUUCUCAACUUCAUGCAUUAAAUUAAAGGAUAAACUAUCUUGUGCUAAUUCUAGUUACCAAUGGUUCAUCCAAAGGGAUAGCUAAGAAGAAUAAAGAAGCUGUGUUGAAGACAAAGUCUCGAGAAUAGAGUUUUGAAGCGAGGCAAAGCAGAAGAGAGAGGUGAAACCAACACCCUUUGAAUAUAUGGAAGUCAACCUGAAGGUAAAUAUUAAAUAACAGAACUUCCAAGUGCAUCUCAUAUGAUGGCUCUUCCCUUGGCUGAGACUGACUCUUGGAAGUUACAGAAUGGAAUGAUGGAUGAACUUUACCCCUACAUAACAUAGAUCAUGAAUCACAUGUUUACCAUUUUCCUGACCUACAUGAACAGAGAACAAGCACACCUUUCUCAACCUUUAUACUAAUGUGAUAUAUGAUCUUGGCUUUUAUUUUAGAGAUGUUUGGAUUGAAUGAUGUGAUGCGCCCGUUGCGCUUGACCUCUUUCCUUGUUACUGAUGGUUUGGGCUUUCUAGCCAAACACAAAUACUCGUAGAAAGCUUUGCCGAGCCGGGGUUUUUCUUUUGUUUAAAGUACCCCUAUUCCGCACAUCAGACAGAUCAAAGGGGCCUUUUUAUAUGUCUGAUUUGGCUAUGGAAUCAGUCUCAUUUUAGGAAUUGAAUUUCGAUGUCAACGAGAGAGAUUCGAAAAAGCUUUAUCCACCCUUAUAAAAAUAGGUAUCUCCACUAAUAGAAAUCCUAUAAGGUAUGUGAGAAGAUGGCAAAAAGUGGUGCUUCCCUUCAGGGAAAUCAUUGAAGAGACCAGCACAAUUCAAAACCUAUGAAAUCGGGCAAUAAGAGGCCUAAAAAUAGUUCAAUCAACUAGAAAGUAGCUUAGCCCACACACAGAAUAGAGAAGAGUUAUGAGCGGUCAAACCUCAUCAAGUGCCAUCCACGGGAGUCCCUAGGGUUCCACUUACCGAAUCACAAGGUGAGGCGCAGCAAAUCAUUACUACCUUAGCCACCCGGCACCCUAUUUUACUCUCAAAAGACUGCACUUCUCUCGUUCCUCUUGGACGAUUUUUUUUUGUCAGUAGCCGUACACCUACCUAAUUGUAUAAUCUAUCUUUCCAAGAGAAUGAAUGUAAAGAUCAGACUUUCGUUCUUCAGGACCUGCAAGCAGUAAUUCAUAGGUGUUAACGGGACGUAGUAAUGUGGGGCGUAUUUUCCCUAAUUAUGAAAGAUUGAAUGUGUUAUAUCAUGUUCUUGGCUGCUGAAAGACGAGUUUUUUCAAAACCUGCUUCUCGCCUUGAGCUGAGCCCUACCACAUGAAUACAUUUUAGGACUAGCAGAUUGACUUGUUUAGCCCUUUUUUUAUUGGUUUUGUGAAUCCCACCAUUACUGAGCACGACCUGAUUGAGGCACGAAUCCGUCUUUUACCUUUUAUUAUUGUAUUUUUUUGGGAAAGGGACUUGAAGGAAUGCAAUCUAUCUAAUAUUAGGAAGCAGGUAGCGAGGUAGUUAGGGACCUACUGACUGCAGUGGAAAUGAGGUCACACUUAUGUGUUACGCAAUUUCUCUUUCUUUCUUUUAGAUAUAUGCAUUAAAAAAAACUAUCAUUGCUAUAGCUUGUUGUUUUGCUAUUUUUUUUUUUAAAUUUUUAUUUUUUAUGGCUAUGCAUUUGUCUAUUUUGUGGAUUGUUGGCCAAGUUUGAUUGUAGUUAUCACUUUUUAUUAAUUUAAAUGUUGUACAUCCUAACUCUUUAGAUUCAUAUGUUUACUUUCUUGACAAAUCGACGUGUUCUUGGAGGCUUAAAUGACGAAGACUGUCUUAGGCUCAUAAAGUGUUAGGGAAAGUCCAGCUUCUAAGUGAGAAGUUGUAUAAUACUAAAUAGCUUGGUUUAUUUAAGCAUUUUUCAUGUGUUUUUAAAAUCAUUUGUGUAGAUAUAGUUAACAGCUUAUAACUUUUUUGUAGUUUGAACGUUUGUUUCUAAGUAUUCUAUUUAGUGGAUGUGAAAUUUCAGUUCUUUUUUAAUAUAUUCAAUUUGGUACUAAAUUCUUUCUUGGCAACUUUAGUUGGCUAGGAUUUUUUAUUUUUAAAUAUCAGUUAUAUUUUUCUUGACGACUAAAAAUCGUCAUUUAAAUGUCAGAAAAUAUAUUUGUUAAUAUGUACGAAGCGACAAGAAAAGUACUCUCUGACUGUUUUUAAAUGAUCCGUGACAUUUUUUAUGUGUCGGGAAAUAUUAUUCCUUGACGGAUAAUAAGGAUCAAGAAUCGCGAUACCCUUUCCUGACACUGGUAUUGCUGUUCCAUACCAUCAACUAAUGGCUAUAAUGACCUUUUUUAGUUGUCAGUAAAGGGGUUUUUUUCUUGUAGUGUUAAUGGCAUUGUUCUAGCAUGAUAUGUUUGAAACCCUCUAUGCACUCUUACAACCACAUAAUGUGAGCUUUUGAGCCUUGUGCUUCAAUUCAUGAGUGUUACACAUACUCUUAUUUUCUUGUCAUCUAAGUUGUUUGAUCUCAUUAUUCAUUGAUUUGCUUGAGCACUUAAAAGUCUUUCACUCUUAUGCAAUUUGAUUACAUAAUAUCUAGGAAAUGAUAUUAAGGCCCCCUUUGGAUCACUUGUGCCUUUUCAAGCCUUAUACAUGCUUAAGCAUGAUUUUCCAUUGUUAACCACUUUAAGCCUACCUGUAAGCCUUUUCUUUCAAUAUACCAAUUAUAUUUCCUCACCUUAGCCUGAAAAAUAAUAAUUUACAUUUCUAGGGAACUCAUGAGUGUUAAUUUGGAUGUGUUUUUCAUGCUAAGUUUGAGAAGCGAUGUUACAUAUUGUGUAAAUAAAAAAAAUAAAAAAACAAAAGAGAAAAGUCGCUCAAUUUGUGAAAGAAAACGUUGUGGUUAGUUGUUGUUUGAUUGAAAUUUCAUAUUUGAGUUCUCUUUAUUGGGCCUAAAAGUAAAUUGGUGGCUAUUCAAUUGAAUGAAAGGAGUCUGAAUCAAUAUAAAUGGAGUAUAAGGCUUUAUGGUCUACUUGAUCAUAAUAAAAAAAAAAAACAUAAGCUUGAUGAUUCUAAGUCAUGUGAUUUGUUCCUAUAUGCUCUUUGAGUUCCUUGGACUUUGUAUUAUCCAUACCUUUCAUUUCUUACUCACCUUAUACCCUUGGCCUCAUUACAACCUAUGCUAAGACCUAAAUUGAUCCUAAAUAUCAUGUGGUUGAAUUGUUUUUAUCUUUCUAUACUUUUAAGUGUUUGGCAUCCUUCUUCAUAUCAUAUUUAUGCAUGUUCUUCAUUUUCUUAUUGCUAGUUAAGUCCUUUAUGGGUUAACUCAAUUCUCAUGUUUAUAACUGAGUGAGGCAUUUUAACCCUCUUUUAAGUGAUUCAUUCAUGAGAGUACAACUUUGUGAGAUUAAAAGUUGAUUUUGUGUUUGGUUUGAUAUUCGAAGUUGUGCGGAAACUUAGAUUGGGAAUGAGUUGCAAUUGGCUAUCACACUACUACACCUUGAGCAUGUUGUGUUUUGAGCUUUGCCGCAUUGUGAAUGAUAUCUAAAAACUGAGUUUUUAUUGUGAAAACUUUUAAGUAAUGUGCAUCAGUCGCCCUCUCCUCGGAAAAUGUUCGGAAAGAUUGUUUUAAGUUUUGUUUAGUUUCUGUUUUGCUUGAGGACUAGUAAAAGAUAAGUUUGGAAAGUUUGUUGGGUUUAUUUUUGUACAUGAUUUAUCAUGUUAUUCACCAAUGUUUUGAGUUAAUUCUUGGAUUAAAAUAUUAAUAAAGUAAUUAAAACUUAAAGCAAAAUAUUAUACAAAUCAAAAAAUUAUAACAAUUUUAGAGAAACACAUCUUGCAAUUGAGGAGUUUCCAAUUUUCCAUAGACUUAGAAACCUAAGUAAGAGGUAGCAUACCCAAUU
rnacentral:lncRNA from 1 species